GUCUACAGCCAUACCACCUUGAAUGCAUCUUAUCUCGGGAGCUAAGCAGGGUCAGGCCUGGUUAGUACUUGGAUGGGAGAAAGCUAGGGUCUCUGAUCC
rnacentral:rRNA from 1 species